GACGGAUUCAAAGAUUCCUGAUGCGCAGUAUGGUAUUGAAAAAGCAAUGACAUUUAUGCUGGCUGCGCAUGCCGGUGCUAAUCGGUUGU
rnacentral:ncRNA from 1 species